CGCCUCCCUCCGCCGCCACUCAGACUCCGUACGGGAGGCGAGCAGGUGGGGAAGUCUUGCACAAUGGACGAAAGUACUGAUGCAGCAACGCCGCGUGGGGGAGUGAAGCUUUCGGAGUGUAAACCCUUCGACCCGGAAGAAUGCCCGCAAGGGUUUGACGGUACGGGUAUAAGAAGCCCCGGCUAACUACGUGCCAGCAGCCGCGGUAAUAC
rnacentral:rRNA from 1 species